CAGUCGAACGAGAGAAGAUCGGUGCUUGCACUGAUCCGAUCGAGUGGCGGACGGGUGAGUAACGCGUGGGUAACCUGCCUCAUACAGGGGAAUAACAGUUGGAAACGGCUGCUAAAACCGCAUAAGCGCACAGUAUCGCAUGAUACAGUGUGAAAAACUCCGGUGGUAUGAGAUGGACCCGCGUCUGAUUAGCUAGUUGGUGAGGUAACGGCCCACCAAGGCAACGAUCAGUAGCCGGCCUGAGAGGGUGAACGGCCACAUUGGGACUGAGACACGGCCCAAACUCCUACGGGAGGCAGCAGUGGGGAAUAUUGCACAAUGGGGGAAACCCUGAUGCAGCGACGCCGCGUGAGUGAUGAAGUAUUUCGGUAUGUAAAGCUCUAUCAGCAGGGAAGAUAAUGACGGUACCUGACUAAGAAGCACCGGCUAAAUACGUGCCAGCAGCCGCGGUAAUACGUAUGGUGCAAGCGUUAUCCGGAUUUACUGGGUGUAAAGGGUGCGUAGGUGGUGAGACAAGUCUGAAGUGAAAAUCCGGGGCUUAACCCCGGAACUGCUUUGGAAACUGCCUGACUAGAGUACAGGAGAGGUAAGUGGAAUUCCUAGUGUAGCGGUGAAAUGCGUAGAUAUUAGGAGGAACACCAGUGGCGAAGGCGACUUACUGGACUGCUACUGACAC
rnacentral:rRNA from 1 species